GUACGGGGGCGGGGGCGUGGAUCUCCACAUAUACACUUGUACACGUAUACACAUAGGUGUGCAUGUCAGUAUACAUACGUGGAAAGAGUGCGUGUGGCAGUGCACAUACAUGUCUGCCUGUUUGCGCACACCUGCAUGCACACACACGCAGUAUGCACCUGCAGGCACGCUGUACCCUAUGUGCUACACGUGCACUGUGUGUAUACACCUACACAUGCAGAUGCGUGUGCAUGCAUGUACACACACACACACACACGUGCAUGCAUGUACAUGGCUGCAUGGGCUCACACACCGAGUGCGUGAGUAGGGCUGGGAGUCAGUCAGCUCUGUGAGGCAUGUGAACACCUGCAUGCGAUUCACGAGGUUUCCGGCAGGAAGCCGUAGCAUCAGAAGCCGUUCGUAUCUGCUGUGGCAAGAGGUAGGGGUGGGGGUCAGUCUACUAUUUUUCAUAAUGAAAAACAGUGAAAUUAAUUUUUGAAAAGCAGGUGCCACAAAACUCAGGCCAGUUGCAGACGGGCGUCUGGAGCCGAAACAGGCUGAGAAACCCCCGUACUAGGUACAGGAAGCCACGAUCGCUUUCUCGACAGCAUCUUCAAUAGCAACUGGCGCUACGACUUGUUGUGAAGCAUUUACAGCUGCUCCACUUAUGCAUAUUUUCCAACAGGCAGGAUCUUUUGAAAACGAUACCUAAUGUUAUAUUAUUAAAAUGGCUAUCCAUACAAGGCAGAGUGUAAAAAUGAAAAUGCUGACAGGUAUUUUUUAAUCUUUUGAGAUUUUAACUAACAUUUCAUUGAUAUUUAUGUUUUAUUAAUUAUCUCUGUAAGCAAAUACAAAUUGACGUAUUAUGCAUCUACGAGACAAGGGUUGCUCAAUUUCCAUCCCCUGGGCCAAAUGCAGCCCCAUGGAGCCAUCACAUCUGGCUUGUGGGGCUCCCCAUGGGUCUGGGGAAUUGGCAGCAAGCGAGUGGUGGCCAUGAACACAGCCUCCCCACCACUUCCCCUGCCAAAUCCCCAAGCCCCAGUACCUGCAUGGCUGGUCUGAGCCAAGCUAUGCCUCUUUCCCCCGUGGGCCUGGGCCACGUUCCCCCACUUCGGGAUCAGGGUUGGACCGUGUCCCCUUCCUUUCCUGCAGGGCCGGGUUGGGCCAGGCCACGCACUCUUUCCCUCCCUACAGGGUCACCUGGCUAGCCUUCUUUCCCUCUUGACAAGGAUGGGUCAAGCUCCUUUCCCCAUCAGGGCUGUGUUGAAGCCAGUUUGUCCCCCACCUGGCCAGAUGGUGCCCACCCACGUGCCAGAGCAGGAACACCUGGAUCCAGCCCGUGAAUGUAUUGGCCACUGGCAGUCUGGCCUGCUGUGUUGGGGCUGCACUGCACUAUCGGUGGUCCAUUAAAACAAUUUUAAAGAAACGAGUCAUGGAAUCACAGAUUAUGCGAUCAUAAUUUUAUCACUACUUUAUAUUUUCCUUUCAAAGGAAAAACUAGAAGUACUCUGUGACAGGCUCACAGCCACAGGGGCUGCCAUGACACCCCUAGCGGCCUUGCUGCUCCUGCCUGGCUCCAGCUCUAAUGUCACUCUCUCUUCAUUGUUCACCAGCUGUGCCUUGCUCUUAAUAUUACAGGUUGAUUCAAGGAGGCUGCUAGCAGGCCUUAGAGUGAGCCCGAAUCCAGUAAGUUUCCCCUGGGUCUGAGGCCCCAUUGGCCACUAUCCAGACAUCCAACCUUGGUAGGUUCCUCUCGGCCUGACUACAGGUGCCCUACAGGGACCUAGCCUUAAGGGCAAACGGUGUGGUUCCUUUUCCUCCCCUACACCACGCCCUAAGCCUCAGAGAUGUUCUCCCUUUGAUUUUCCUUCUUAUGCACUCUGCCCCCUUGAGCUCCCAGACCCCUCCACUGCCCAGCCCUGGACACAGGUGGCUCUGGGCCUCUUGGACCUCGUGAUCUGGGUCUCAGCCUUUUUUCAGUUCUGGGACCCCUCCCUGGGUCCCACCCUCAGUGUGAGGGCUCCUGGGAUACUGGCUCUCUAAGCAAGCCUUGAGUCUGCACCCCCAGGGUUCAAGGCUAAACAUAAAUCAAUAAGAAACAUCACCGCCGUCUGGCAGACACCUCAGUCUUUAGAGGUGUAACAUAAAGACCACUUGCCUGUAAACCCAGUCUUCCUCAGUCCAAGAAACUUGCCUCUGUUUCCAGACCUGUAGAGUUGUUCAGCCAAAAUCCAGUUCCCUUCAGGGACCCGGAGCCAGGAGUUGUGCACUGUGCAGUAGCUGGGGGGAAACGAAGAGACUGGUGCAGACUCGGGGCUCAUGUAGCUCCAGCCUGAGCCCUCUUCCAGCCAGGUGAGUCCCUCAUUAGCUCCCCCCUGCCCCCUAAAAGCAGCCUCUCAGGCUGCUUGCUCUCCUAAAGGGUCAGGCACAUCCCAGUGCCCUGUUACAUAUUCUGUAUACUAGAUAACCAUGAUAGUUGAUUACUGUGUUAAUUAUUUGUACGUCCUUCGAUGAGGAGAGGUGACAAUCCUGACUAAAGUUCUGUUGUAGCAGAUGCUGUACAAAUGCAAAUAAAGACUUAGGGUGUGUGUAAAUGAAAUGAAAA